AAAUGUUGUAGUCGGCUAGAUGGUAGCAUCAAACUCUUGGGGUGCACUUUCUCUUUCUAGAAUGCUCUCAAGGGUCUGUGAACAAUAAUGACAAAAGGAAGACAAACAGACCUCAAUAAGGAAGGAGAACGAGCGGGAAGGAAGCCAAAACGUGUCCUAGUGGGUCUGUGGUUUCACACACAGGAAACCGUCCCCCUGAGCAAAUGAAAAGGGAACGCGUGACAGUCACCAAGAUACGCGUCCCCACCAAACGAUCCUUAGGGGUAAGUGGGGGAUCUCGGCACCAGUGCUCAAACUGAGCUUGCGGACUAAUCAGACCUAGACACGUGACUCAAAUAGUACAAUGAAGUGACAAAUUUAAACAAGAGGAAAGCAGCUAGCAAGCAUUAGCGUGCCCACCAAGCUUCGGGCUCAAAAUAAGAACACGUCCAAUUCACAUAAUCUCAACAACUAUUGACCCAGCUCAUGCGAACUGAGGAACAAUUGUAAGGGAACAAAA
rnacentral:lncRNA from 1 species